GCUGACCAGAGCUGGCCCGAGCUGGCCCGAGCUGGCCUGGGCUGGCGCGCUUCACAGUGCAUUUGCUGAGCAAUGAAAUGCAGCGCUGGCGCAGACACUGUGUGAGAAGGUGUGGUGUGAGGCCUUCAGAGUGUGGAAUGCGUGGU
rnacentral:rRNA from 11 species